rnacentral:rRNA from 1 species
GUAGGUGGCAAGCGUUGUCCGGAGUUAUUGGGCGUAAAGCGCGCGCAGGUGGUUCUUUAAGUCUGAUGUGAAAGCCCCCGGCUCAACCGGGGAGGGUCAUUGGAAACUGGGGAACUUGAGUGCAGGAGAGGAAAGUGGAAUUCCACGUGUAGCGGUGUAAUGCGUAGAUAUGUGGAGGAACACCAGUGGCGAAGGCGACUUUCUGGCCUGUAACUGACACUGAGGCGCGAAAGCGUGGGGAGCAAACAGGGAUUAGAUACCCUGGUAGUCCACGCCGUAAACGAUGAGUGCUAAGUGUUGGGGGGGUUUCCCGCCCCUCAGUGCUGCAGCUAACGCAUUAAGCACUCCGCCUGGGGAUACGGUCGCAAGACUG